UGGCCUUUUGAGGAACUGCAGUUUUUGGCACUUUCGCAUUAGCUUCACUUUUCAGCCCCGCAGGUUGCCGCUUGGUUCACAGGCAGGCAGCAGUGCUACAGUGUGACUGACCAUGGCUGAACAGGCAAAGCUACCUAUUCCAGCGCUCCCUGGAACGUCUUAAAGUAUCAAAUAUGCAAAGCUAAUGAAGACUGCUGAAGAAAAGAAAGAACAAAAGAAAGCUGCCAGAAAAAAAGACAAGAGUCAUGCAAAAUCAACCAUUUACAAUGGUGUGGCCUUUCAUCACUGGAAAAACCUCAAAGUUUUAAAGGGGUUGAAAAAUGAUGCGCAGCUAUCCUUACUGCUUCUGGACAGUUAAGAAAAAAAUUGCUCCACAUCAACACCCUUCAAGCUCUGAGGAACGCGACCUGCUCCCACCAUCAUUGUUGAGCAGACACAGAGGAAUAGGACUGAAAUCAACCAAGACGUUCAGAAAAGAAAUACAGCCAAAACUCCUAAGGAAAUACCAGUACCUACAGUGGAGGAUACAGAACUUCAGGUCAUGACAGUGAAGAGGUGAAAUGUAAUUAUCCAUCAAUGGCGCAAGACAAAGUCACUUAUCCUACUAUCACCAUUGUUCAUGAAAUCCCCACUGACACCUCAGAACUGGACAUGAACUCAGAGGAAUCUCAACUAAAUCCUGGUGUUUAUGAAUUCCGUCCUAGAGCACUGGAAAAGAAAAAAUGACAUGGAUAAACUCCAUGAUUCAAGUGAAACCACAGAGAGUAGUGAUACUCAUUACCUUACCUGAGAGUCUAGAAAACACACUUGUGAAUAAGAGAGACCCACCUGUUAAUGAAGAUCCAGGUACACAGAGUGAAACAGUUCAAGGGGAACUCACUGAACAAACUGUUCACAUCAAAAUGGAAAACAUUGGAAGACAGGACGAGACAAUGAACAGAUCAGAGCAAGCAAAAGGGACUGUUGGAAAUAAGAUCCCUUCAUCUCCCACUCCUGUUGAGGAGAAAGCACAACCUGAGGUUAGAAGAUCAACUAGUAGCCGAACAGAACCUGACAGGUUACAUACAGACCCAUGACUUCAAUUAUGCACUCAAUACUGAAUAGCCUUGGCAAGGUUUUCACAAAUGUUCUUGAUUUGACCCCUUCCCCAUAUGUAAGCCAGGUGAUUGAUAUUUAGAUGGUUGUCAACAUGCAAGGAUGCAUGCAGAUUUAGGGGGGGCAGGAUGUAACCCAUAUUAAAUUUACAUUUAAUGAAGUUCUUUUUAUGGUCGGUAGAGGGUGCUCUAACGUUGUAGCCAUUGUACUACUGCAGAAGAAGAACUGGUUAGCGAUGCGCAGGUGGAGUGAGAGAUUGCCACUACUGAGAGAGAGAGAAAUAGAGAGACUUCCAGAGCAUCUCUGCUGAGAACAGUGUUUGGAUAUGACUAUUAAGAGUAAUUUUCUUGUAAUGUGAAAUUAUUUGAGUUCAUCUGCUGAAGAUUUGUUUUGUAUUUGUUUUUAUGUAUGUUGUGUUGAUGUGUUUUGGUAUUUGAGAAAAAUCUGGUGAAUCUCCGGUUGAUUUUUGUUGAGUCUGGAAUUAUUAUGGACUAUGGUGAGUGAACACGGGGCGCCAGUACUGUGAUCAUCCAAGAAGCAAGAGGAUUGUCCACCAUAUUCCUUCCUCUUCCCUGCCAUCACCUGCAGUAUAACUUUUUUUGGGAACAGAUAAUCUUCUUUAAGAUCUCACAAAGCACACACUACCCGGGUAGAAUACAGUGGACUAAAGAAUAGAUUCAUGUUACACCAAAGGAUUAUAUUGAACUGUGAUUGUGACUAUUGCAAGCUUCAGAUAACAGCCUACUGCUGAAGAGGACACUUUAUUUUAUUUAUUAUUUUUGGUAAUUUGUUGCAAUAAAUGUCUAUGUUCUAUCACAAAAUGCAUUGCUGUGACUCAUUUGCUCCUUGAGACAAAUGAGAAUCUUCUGAUUGGCCUAUCUUAAUUUAACUGCAAGUAUACUGCAAGGUAGAUUAUCUAUUGAUAAUUUUACUGUGUCAUAAAGAGAAGUGUUACAUAUUGGCACCAGCUCUUUUCUUUGUCUUUUCUGAUGAGGAUACACAAAGCCACUGUUAUCCUGGGACAAAUGUACCUGGAUAUUCUUAACCAAGAUCUCCAGAAUUAAGUUCAGGGGCCCUUAAUGGCUGAUUUCUUAAAAGCCUGGGAUAAUGACCAAGGAGAGACAAGAGAGUCUUUAAGUGCCCAGAAUAAUAAAGGUGUAAUAACAUCAGCAAUUAUAUGUCAGCCAAU